rnacentral:rRNA from 1 species
CGUCUAUAUACGUAUAGCAUAUCAAUAAGCGGAGGAAAAGAAACUAACAAGGAUUCCCCUAGUAACGGCGAGUGAAGCGGGAAGAGCUCAAAUUUGAAAUCUUAAAGGGUUUCCCUUUACGAAUUGUAGUUUAAAGAAGUGUUUUCUGUUGGAGUUUUGGUAAAAGUUCUUUGGAAUAGGACAUCAUAGAGGGUGAGAAUCCCGUAUUUGACCAUUUCUUCCAGCUGUGUGAUACACUUUCAAAGAGUCGGAUUGUUUGGGAAUGCAGUCCAAAAUGGGUGGUAAAUUUCAUCUAAAGCUAAAUAUUGGCGAGAGACCGAUAGCGAACAAGUACCGUGAGGGAAAGAUGAAAAGAACUUUGAAAAGAGAGUUAAACAGUACGUGAAAUUGUCAAAAGGGAAGCGUUUGACACCAGUGUUGUUUUCUCGAAAAUCAAUUAAAAAUGACCGGAUUUUGUGUUGUAUUGACUUUAUCAGCUUUCUGCACUUUUUUCUUGUCUUUUUUAAUGCACUUUUCGUUUAACAAGUCAACAUCAAUUUCUUUUGUUGUAAAAGGGUCAUUGGAAGAUGGCUUUCAUUUCGGUGAAAGUGUUUAUAGCCUUUGACUUCUGCAAUCGGAGAGAUUGAGGUCUGCAGCGUAGAUCCUUCGGGGUUAGAUACAUUUGUGCUAAGUUAUAGUUUUUCAUAGACAACAUGUUGACUAUGAUUAAUCAUGUAGCCUACUCGCUUAUGCUAUUUUACCUACGCUUAGGAUGUUGAUAUGCAUGACUGAUAU